rnacentral:lncRNA from 1 species
GUGCUGAGUUUCCUCACAUAUCAACAGAGUACUGAUAUCACCAUUUCUUUUCAGAAAGCCAUCUCCUUAAAAAAUAUGAAAACCAUUGGCAUUUAGUCCUGAUAUAAAGAAGAACUUAUAUUUGUGUAGCUUUGGUAAAUACCACUGAAUCUGAAUGCCAGUCCCCACCUGUCACUCUCAAGACACAGUUUAGGAAAAAUGAAGGAUCCAUGCUGAGAAUACUAAAAAGAAAGGACAUGUAACAGUUACGCUCCUUUGAGAGAUUAUCUGUGCCAUCUUUUUGUGUUAACUAUGCCCUCCAGAUGAGGUGUCCAGCACAAAAACUGCAAGGUCGUAAUUCACAGAGGUGUGGGCCAGGGAGAACUGAAGAAGAGAAUCAGUUCAGGGAAGAAAGCAAGAAAACAAAAAGAAGAGACCUCAUCACAGUCAACUGCUUCCUCAAGAGGGGAAGCAAAGAGGCAGACGCUGAUCUCUGUGGUGACCGGUGACAGGACCCAAGGGACUGGCCUGAGCUUGUUUCAGGGGAAGUUUAGGUUGGGUAUUAGAAAAAGUUUCUUCACCCAGAGGGUGUUUGGUCACUGGAACAGACUCCCCAUGGAAGUGGUCGCAGCACCAGCGUGACAGAAUUCAAGAGGCGUUUGGCCAAAGCUCUCAGGUACAUGGUGUGAUUCUUGGGGAUGGUCCUGUGCAGAGCCAGGAGUUGGACCUGAUGAUCUUUGUGGUCUCUUCCAACUCAGAAUAUUCUGAGAUACAAUGGUUGUAAUUGUUGGCAGAGACAGAGAAAACAGAAGGAAAUCUAUUAUACACUUACCUUGGCUACUCAUCUAGUCCCUACUGUAAUCACAUCAGAAAUGCACUACUGGACUGGGACACGUAGGAGAAGCACCCUCCUCUGCAGACCUCUGGGGUCAGAGAGAGCAGAGUGGGAGACAGAGGCACAACUGGCUGGAGAUGGUGAGCCUGAGGAUAUGGACUGCUGUUGAAGCAAGGGAGCACACUUCAAGUUGUUGGAAACCUUUUUGAUGUGUGCCCAAGAGCGUUCCCUUGGCAGCACCGUUUGUGGCUAUGCAAGGAGCUGAGCUAAGCCUGUGAUAUCAGCUCCUGGCCAACCACAGGCUCCUUCAGAGACGUAAGAUUCAUCUUUUUGCAAGGAGGAUAGCCCAUCCCCUGCAGAAGCACGGUCUCAAGGGACAUGACACACUGCUUUUAUCUCCAGCUACCCAGUCUCUGGACCUUGAAAGUUUUCACUGCAGUGAUUCCAGUGAAGCAAGUCUUAGGUGAGGUUAUCCACAUCACAGAUGAUUCAGACACACAAAAUGCAGAACAACCCUCUCCAAAACAUCCAAGGCCUGAGGCUUGAGGAUGAGAAAUUCGCUUCAUGUGGUAAUAUUGUAAAACACAGGAAAAAUAAUAUUGCUAUAAUAAGCUACUGGAAAUGGUCCUAAUAUCUUAUAGGUAGAUGAAGAUAUUUGCCAGCUUUGUCACUGC